AAGGCAAUCUUUCAUUCGAUUCCUAAAUUCCAAAGUGAAAAACGGACAAGAGAAACCAUGGCAGGGGAAAAAAUGAUGAAAUAGAAAGAGAAUAAAGAGAGUGGAAAGGAAGGGAUAAUCUAUUAAAUUGGAAGUUUAAUCUUUCUCCAUAGCUAGAUUUUAACUUCUUCCACCAUUUAGAACACCCAUUUUUCAGAUUCUUGCUUUUCUCAUCACAUAUAGACACAAACACCCACCUCCUCAACCCAAAAUUGAAAACCAAUUAGCCUUCAUUCGGUUCGAGUUUUUUGGUUGCUCAGAUUUGAGUGACGAUUUUAGAGUUCAAAGUCUCGAGAUAGGAAUUGAGCCGACGAAGUGCUAUUUGAGGUCUCUGGCUUUCCAUGGUUCGAGCCCGACAUUUAAUUUUGGAAUUCCGGAAUUUUGUUCAAUAAAUUAAGGUGUGAAUCUACUUACCGGAGUUUGAGCAUGAUAGACACCCCGGAACCAUCCAGUCAGGACCGCUGCAUUUAGGAGCUGCUUAAGGAGAUUUUUUUUUUAUAUAUGUUUUGAGUUUGUCUUCCUUUUAUGUUGUCUUUUACUUUCAGUCCUUUCUAAUAGUACUAAGUCUUUUAGGUGGUGUCAGAAUCUAUCAUAGUCUAGCUGAGUUUGUUGAAUCUUUUGUUAUCGUAUUUCUGAUUCUGUAUUAAAAAAAAAGGUUGUAAAUGAAUAAUCCAAAAAGAUUUUAUUUUUUU